rnacentral:rRNA from 1 species
UGGUGCAUGGUUGUCGUCAGCUCGUGUCGUGAGAUGUUGGGUUAAGUCCCGCAACGAGCGCAACCCUUGAUUUUAGUUGCCAGCAUUUAGUUGGGCACUCUAAAGUGACUGCCGGUGCAAGCCGGAGGAAGGUGGGGAUGACGUCAAAUCAUCAUGCCCCUUAUGACCUGGGCUACACACGUGCUACAAUGGAUAGUACAAAGGGUCGCGAAGCCGCGAGGUGGAGCUAAUCCCAUAAAACUAUUCUCAGUUCGGAUUGUAGGCUGCAACUCGCCUACAUGAAGCCGGAAUCGCUAGUAAUCGUGGAUCAGCAUGCCACGGUGAAUACGUUCCCGGGCCUUGUACACACCGCCCGUCACACCACGAGAGUUUGUAACACCCGAAGUCGGUAGGGUAACCUUUAUGGAGCCAGCCGCCGAAGGUGGGACAGAUAAUUGGGGUGAAGUCGUAACAAGGUAGCCGUAUCGGAAGGUGCGGCUGGAUCACCUCCUUUCUAAGGAA